rnacentral:ncRNA from 2 species
CAAAACCACUGGGGGAGCCUUUUAAAGGCUGAGAUUAAAGUGUACUACUUUAAGACCCUUUGAACCUGAUCUAGUUCAUACUAGCGGAGGGAAGUGUAGUCUGAAUGAU